UACGUAGGGUGCGAGCGUUAAUCGGAAUUACUGGGCGUAAAGCGUGCGCAGGCGGUUUUGUAAGCCAGGUGUGAAAUCCCACGGCUCAACCGUGGAAGUGCACUCGAAACUGGAUGGCUAGAGUCCUGGAGAGGAAGGUGGAAUGCUUGGUGUAGAGGUGAAAUUCGUAGAUAUCAAGCGGAACACCGGUGGCGAAGGCGGCCUUCUGGACAGUGACUGACGCUGAGACGCGAAAGCGUGGGGAGCAAACAGG
rnacentral:rRNA from 1 species